rnacentral:lncRNA from 1 species
GGUAAUGGAGGCUUAUUCUAAUGUUUUCUUUUGAGUUUUAUAGUUUACUCUUACAUUUAGAUCUUUGAUACAUUCUUAUGUUAAUUUUUGCAUAUCAUGUGUGAGAGAGGACCAACUUUUUUUUUUAACAUGUAAAUAUAUUCAGUUGUCCCAGUACCAUUUAUUGAAAAAACUUCUUUUUCCCAUUCAGUCAACUUGGAACCCUUCUUAAAAAUCAUUUGAACUUAAACGUGAGGGCUUUGGGGACUUUUUAUAUACAACUUUACUUAAAACAUUAACUUAACUUAAUAGAAUGUAAGCUUUUUGAGUCUAGGAAUUGACCAUGUCUGCUGAUGUAGGUACAGCAUAAUGCCCAACAUACAACAGUACUCAAUAUGCACUUCACUAUUUAAAUACAUCUUAAUGUUUUCUUCUGCUAAAAUGCAAAUUAUAUCUGGAAAAGGACACUAUUAAUUCCUCACCAUAGAAUAGUUCAUCAUAUUAAGAGAUAACAGGAACUCUAGGGAAGGAAGCACAGGACAAGUGGGUUAUGAUAGGAGUUAGGGGAAGGGAAAAUUUUCAGCCUCAGUCUUGUUUGGCUAAGGGAGUAUGUUGGGCAAUUGGAAACAUACUUCCUGGUGUUGCUUCCUUGAAAGGAGCUGUGUGGAACCAGAAAAAAGUAGAAAUUAGAAUGUAAAAGGAAGGAGCUGAAGAAGAAUUCAUUUAAUUAAUUAACAAUUUUGUCAAGGGCCAGUCCACUUUCUGGGAAGCCAAAAGUCAAAAAAGUUAUCAGAAAAGCUCUGGAUAUUCAGUUAAGAUGAGCUGGUGGGUGAUUGUGAUAUAGCACUUGGAUUACCUAUUUAGUCAAUGUGACAAUAAAGCAUUUAAAAAUAAACAUUGAAACUAACACAAUUAAAAAGAACCAUAGCUCUAUUGUAAGUGAGGAAUCAUUGAGGGGGCAUUUAGCUAAUAAAGGACAUAAUAAAAUCAAUGCGGGGCACAGAACAUUUUUCUAGGACACAGAAUUUUUGCUUUCCAGGUAGAUUACACAUAAAGUAGAGAAUAAUAACCCUUCAUGUUGUAGGCAAAGGAAUUAAUCAGUAAACAAACAAAAAACCAAAUUUAAAAAGCUCAAGCCUGAGCAAAUAUUAGUAAAAUUUUUAAGAUACUUCAUAGCUUCUUUUCACACUUGGGUAUUAAAAACUAAGGCAAAUAAAAUUCACUUUGAGUUUUGUCCUUCAAAUUUAUUUUGGCUUUCCUUUUCUCACUGCAAAGUGUAGGGUACUUUGAAUUCUCUUCUCAUUCAAUUAUAAUAUCUGGCUGGUUCUCUCAUUAUUAGAAAAAAAUACUUUUCACAUGUAUAUUUUAUAUUUGUAUGAGAGUCAUUAUUUUAUCCUUGUGUAAAAAUUAUUCUUUAACAGAUGACACAGAGAGUCCUACUACCUUUUGCCACAUGAUUUUGUGACCAAGAACUCAUAGGAUGGGAGACAGCAAUUUUCCUCUCCAGACUGAGAAAUAGAAAUAAAAUAUUUUACUUUUCCUCAGCACACCUUAAUACUUGGGGGGGUCAUCAGUUCUCUCAUAGUUCUUUGGGUAGAAGUAAUUCUAGGGGCACAUGGGUGGCUCAGUGGUUGAGCAUCUGCCUUUGGCUCAGGUCAUUGUCCCAAGGUCCUGGAAUCAUGCCCUGCAUCAGGGUCCCCGCAAGGAGGCUGCUUCUCCCUCUGCCUAUGUCUUUGUCUGUGUCCCUCAUGAAUACAUAAAAUCUUUUAAAAAAUAAUUCUAGUGUGUAGACUUUUAUGAAGAAAAAAUCUAUAAUAUAGAGACAGGCUUCAGUUUUGUCCAUCUUAAAAGUCAGAUUACUUUAUUUAUUUCCUUAGCUUUUCUUCUAUAUCUCAACUACCUUGAUGUUGUUUUAAAGAUUUUUAUUUCUAAAAGCUUUUUGUCUGUUUGUUCUUCAAUUUUUAUAGCAUUCUGUUGUUGUUUCAUGGUUAUGAUAUCUUCCCUAAUUUCAAUGAAGUUAUUAAUAAGGCUUCCUUUAGAAGAGUUGUUCUUACAUUAUUUUUAUUUCCUCAAAGUACUGUCUUUAAAUGUUUUAUUUAUUUAUUUUAGUUUGCAGUUCAAUCAUUCAUUUUCAUGUUAGGAGUUUUCCUCAUAGAGUGGCAAUCUCUGGCUGUUCAUGUUUAAGAGUGGGCAACUGAAAAGUGCCUUGAAAGCUCUAGGUGUGUUGUGGUUAUUAGGUACUUCUUCCCUCCCUACACUCUUCUUUCUAACCUACUCUCCCCUACAACAACUGAUAAAAUGUUGACUGAAGGCAGACUCUUAACUGACUGAGCCACCCAGGUGCCCCUCUUUAUAUAUUUUGGUUACUAGCCCUUUAUCAGCUAUGUCAUUUGCAAAUAUCUUCUCCCAUUCCACAAGUUGCCUUUUAGUUUUGUUGAUUGUUUCCUUUGUGUGCAGAAGUUUUUAUUUUGAUAUAAUCCUAAUAGUUUAUUUUUGGUUUUGUUUCCCUUGCCUCAGGAGACAUAUCUAGAAAGGAAUUGCUAUGACUGAUGUCAAAGAGAUUACUACCUGUGCUCUCCUCUAGGAUUUUUAUGGUUUCCUGUCUCACAUUUAGGUCUUUAAUCCAUUUUGAAUUUAUUUUUGUGUAUGGUGAAAGAAAGUGGAAGUCCUAACCUCAGCAAUCAGACAACAAAAAGGAAUAAAAAGCAUCCAAACCAGCAUGGAAGAACUCAAACUUUCACUACUUGCAGGUGAUAUUCUAUACAGAAAAUCCAAAAGACUCCACCAAAAAAUUGCUAGAACUGAUACACAAAUUCAGUGAAGUAGUAGAUACAAAAUCAACAUACAGAAGUCUGUCGCAUUUCUAUACACCAAUAAUGAAGCUACAGAAAGAGAAAUUAAGAAAGUAAUCUCAUUUACAAUUGCACCCCAAACAAUAAGAAAUCUAGGAAUAAACCUAACCAAAGAGGUAAAAGACCUAUACUCUGAAAACGAUAAAACACUAAUGAAAGAAAUUGGCGGGGAACCCUGGGUGGCGCAGCGGUUUAACGCCUGCCUUUGGCCCAGGGCGCCAUCCUGGAGACCGGGGAUCGAAUCCCAUGUCGGGCUCCCGGUGCAUGGAGCCUGCUUCUCCCUCUGCCUGUGUCUCUGCCUCUCUCUCUCUCUCUCUGUGACUAUCAUAAAUAAAUAAAAAUUAAAAAAAAAAAA